rnacentral:lncRNA from 10 species
AGGACAGGAGGCUGGAACUAUCAAUCCUGUCUGGCACCUCCUCACCCGUCUGCUUGCCCCUGGUGGCGCUGGCUCUGCCGCGGGCAGAGGAAGUGCUACCCAGGUGAUAAGAGACACUCUGACUGUGGUCAGAGGAGCAGAGAGGCCUGGCAGGGUCUCUCUCCACCUGCUACUGGCUUUGCCCACCACCGAGGGCUCUGCUUCCUGGGCAAACAUCCAAGGAGAGUGCAGAGUACCAGCAGAGCUUGGGCAAGUCACUCGGCCUUGCUGAGCUGCAUCUGGAGAAUAGGAGAGAAACCCAGGGAGGACUAAAAGUGCAGGCCUCAUUGGAUGAAUCUGAGGAACACGUGGAAGGGCACUUUCUGCCUCAGAGCAUCCCCCCACCCCAGAAUACCACAGUGCCUGAGGUCAGCCCAUUAACACCGCACCAUCAGGAUAAGGCUCUGUCUCCCCAGCAAAUCCCCAGUCAACUCACAAGAUGCUUGUGGGCCUCCUCUCUGCCAGGUGCUGACUCGAAUGCAAUACACACAAAGGGCCUGGGGGAAGGAAGAUCCGAGGCUGCCUUCUGAAAUCUGCUGAACAAUCAGGAAAACCUCCAGAGUUCCCACAUGUUCCAGUCUGACAAGCAUCUCCAGAGGGCAUCUCCAGAGGGCAUCUGCUUCGAUCCCACCUGCCUUCAAUCAUCCUGGGUGGUUUGUAAAGCUGUCCUAUUUUUAAAGCUAUUCUGGGAAGAAUGUUCCCAAACUUCCCUCUGAUUCCAAGUUUCCCUUCAACCCCCCACCUCAGGCAGUUGGCUACUGAAAUGUCAAUCCCCACUACUCAGCCAGAGCCACCCCAUCUGUGGGAGAACCAGCCGUAGCCCAGCAACCCCUCCCCCGGCCCCAAGACCCUUCGCCCACCCUGGGGAGGCCAGGUUUGCUGUUUGGGAGUUUAGCUGAGGCCCUUAGCUCUCGAGUUGCAGAUGGCCCUUAGAUCUGGCUUUCCCCGACCCUGUCUUUCCAGCACUGCUGUGCCGAACCCUCACUGAUUCUGUGCCUAAUGUGACUUAACACUGUUCAAAGGCUCACCCAUGCCUUCAGCUUGGAACUGAGCUGGGAGGAAUACAUCUGUCAAAGGAGCAGCAAAAGAUGCUUGGCCUCUUACACUUAGUGAUCUGUAAGGAAGGGACCAGUUAAAGGUGCCAUCACCCUUCCUCCAGCCUAGACAGGCAACGGAGGUACACAGCCUCAUCUGAGACACAAGCUGCUUCCUUAGGACUUCUGCUGCUGGAACCUGUCAUGGGAGACUCUGCCACCUGACCUCCGGGGCUGCAUGCAGAUGGUGCUCACAGAUGCCCAUACCCC